rnacentral:ncRNA from 2 species
AUUUUAUCAAGAAAGACGGAGGGACUGGCCCUAGGAUGUCUGGCAACCUGGAUUGAAAGGUAAUAUGCUUUUAAUUUAAGGUGCUAAUUCCUGCAGAUGUUAAAUCUGAAAGAUAAGUA